rnacentral:rRNA from 1 species
GAUUAACGCUGGCGGCGUGCCUAACACAUGCAAGUCGAGCGGCAGCGAGUUUUACACUGAAUUCUGGAAGCUUCUAGUUGAAAGAGAAGAUUUAUUCAAGAAUUUUGUGUAAAAUGUCGGCGAGCGGCGGACGGCUGAGUAACGCGUGGGAACGUACCCCAAAGUGAGGGAUAACGCAUCGAAAGGUGUGCUAAUACCGCAUAUGGUCUUCGGAUUAAAGCCUUCGGGCGCUUUGGGAACGGCCUGCGUAAGAUUAGAUAGUUGGUGGGGUAGUGGCCUACCAAGUCGACGAUCUUUAACUGGUUUGAGAGGAUGAUCAGUCAGACUGGAACUGAGACACGGUCCAGACUCCUACGGGAGGCAGCAGUGAGGAAUCUUCCACAAUGGGCGAAAGCCUGAUGGAGCAACGCCGCGUGCAGGAUGAAGGCCUUCGGGUUGUAAACUGCUUUUAUAAGUGAGGAUUAUGACAGUAACUUAUGAAUAAGGAUCGGCUAACUACGUG